AGACAAAGAGGUGCUGAGGGAGAAAUAGGCAAGGUGCUGGUUGGGAGAGAAACACACACAUGUGAUGCAGUGGGCCAUUGCAGAUCAAACUUGGAUGCCCCUGGCCCAGAUCCUCCAGACACAGACUGUUUAGACACUCUUUCUCCUAUUCCAGUCAAUAAGAAGACAGAACAGUAGCUGGAGGACCAGUACCAUAGAGUCACCCAUUGCAGAUAGCCUGGCCAUCCUCUUCCAGGCUGUUUCCAGUGAGAAAUCCCAGCACUGAUGGUGUCUCUAAGCAGCAAUUCAAUGAAUGGAGUUUAAUGAAUAGAGGGAAUAU